rnacentral:rRNA from 1 species
UUCCAGACUCCUACGGGAGGCAGCAGUGGGGAAUAUUGGGCAAUGGGCGCAAGCCUGACCCAGCAACGCCGCGUGAAGGAAGAAGGCUUUCGGGUUGUAAACUUCUUUUGUCAGGGAAGAGUAGAAGACGGUACCUGACGAAUAAGCCACGGCUAACUACGUGCCAGCAGCCGCGGUAAUACGUAGGUGGCAAGCGUUGUCCGGAUUUACUGGGUGUAAAGGGCGUGUAGCCGGGUUGACAAGUCAGAUGUGAAAUCCUGCGGCUUAACCGCAGAACUGCAUUUGAAACUGUUUCCCUUGAGUGUCGGAGAGGUAAUCGGAAUUCCUUGUGUAGCGGUGAAAUGCGUAGAUAUAAGGAAGAACACCAGUGGCGAAGGCGGCUUACUGGACUGUAACUGACGUUGAGGCUCGAAAGCGUGGGGAGCAAACAGGAUUAGAUACCCUAGUA